rnacentral:rRNA from 1 species
AGCAGCCGCGGUAAUUCCAGCUCCAAUAGCGUAUAUUAAAGUUGUUGCAGUUAAAAAGCUCGUAGUUGAACUUCAGGCCUGUCCAGAUGGUCCGCCUUAAUUGGUGUGUACUGUCCUUGGGUGGGUCCUACCUUCUGGCGAAGCGGCAUGGCCUUAGUUGGUUGUGUCGGGGAACCAGGACUUUUACUGUGAAAAAUUAGAGUGUUCAAAGCAGGCAUAUAUGCUCGAAUACAUUAGCAUGGAAUAAUGGAAUAGGACGAUGGUUCUAUUUUGUUGGUUCUAGGACCGUUGUAAUGAUUAAUAGGGAUAGUUGGGGGCAUUAGUAUUCAGUUGUCAGAGGUGAAAUUCUUGGAUUUAUUGAAGACUAACUACUGCGAAAGCAUUUGCCAAGGAUGUUUUCAUUAAUCAAGAACGAAGUUAGGGGAUCGAAGACGA